AACGAACGCUGGCGGCAUGCCUAACACAUGCAAGUCGAACGAGACCUUCGGGUCUAGUGGCGCACGGGUGCGUAACGCGUGGGAACCUGCCCUUAGGUUCGGAAUAACUCCCCGAAAGGGGUGCUAAUACCGGAUAAUGUCUUCGGACCAAAGAUUUAUCGCCUUUGGAUGGGCCCGCGUUGGAUUAGCUAGUUGGUAGGGUAAAAGCCUACCAAGGCGACGAUCCAUAGCUGGUCUGAGAGGAUGAUCAGCCACACUGGGACUGAGACACGGCCCAGACUCCUCCGGGGGGCAGCGGUGGGGAAUAUUGGACAAUGGGCGAAACCCUGAUCCAGCAAUGCCGCGUGAGUGAUGAAGGCCUUAGGGUUGUAAAGCUCUUUUACCCGGGAUGAUAAUGACAGUACCGGGAAAAUAAGCCCCGGCUACCUCC
rnacentral:rRNA from 1 species